rnacentral:rRNA from 1 species
GGGUUGUGAGGUUAAGUGACUAAGCGUACACGGUGGAUGCCUAGGCAGUCAGAGGCGAUGAAGGGCGUGCUAAUCUGCGAAAAGCGUCGGUAAGGUGAUAUGAACCGUUAUAACCGGCGAUACCCGAAUGGGGAAACCCAGUGUGUUUCGACACACUAUCAUGUCAURAAUACAUAGUGGCAUGAGGCGAACCGGGGGAACUGAAACAUCUAAGUACCCCGAGGAAAAGAAAUCAACCGAGAUUCCCCCAGUAGCGGCGAGCGAACGGGGAGGAGCCCAGAACCUGAAUCGGCUUGUGUGUUAGUGGAAGCGUCUGGAAAGUCGCGCAGCAAAGGGUGAUAGCCCCGUACACUAAAAUGCACAGGUCGUGAGUUCGAUGAGUAGGGCGGGACACGUGACAUCCUGUCUGAAUAUGGGGGGACCAUCCUCCAAGGCUAAAUACUCCUGACUGACCGAUAGUGAACCAGUACCGUGAGGGAAAGGCGAAAAGAACCCCGGCGAGGGGAGUGAAAUAGAACCUGAAACCGUGUACGUACAAGCAGUGGGAGCACCUUCGUGGUGUGACUGCGUACCUUUUGUAUAAUGGGUCAGCGACUUAUAUUUUGUAGCAAGGUUAACCGUAUAGGGGAGCCGUAGGGAAACCGAGUCUUAACUGGGCGAWUAGUUGCAAGGUAUAGACCCGAAACCCGGUGAUCUAGCCAUGGGCAGGUUGAAGGUUGGGUAACACUAACUGGAGGACCGAACCGACUAAUGUUGAAAAAUUAGCGGAUGACUUGUGGCUGGGGGUGAAAGGCCAAUCAAACCGGGAGAUAGCUGGUUCUCCCCGAAAGCUAUUUAGGUAGCGCCUCGUGAACUCAUCUUCGGGGGUAGAGCACUGUUUCGGCUAGGGGGCCAUCCCGGCUUACCAAACCGAUGCAAACUCCGAAUACCGAAGAAUGUUAUCACGGGAGACACACGGCGGGUGCUAACGUCCGUCGUGAAGAGGGAAACAACCCAGACCGCCAGCUAAGGUCCCAAAGUCAUGGUUAAGUGGGAAACGAUGUGGGAAGGCAYAGACAGCCAGGAUGUUGGCUUAGAAGCAGCCAUCAUUUAAAGAAAGCGUAAUAGCUCACUGGUCGAGUCGGCCUGCGCGGAAGAUGUAACGGGGCUAAACCAUGCACCGAAGCUGCGGCAGCGACGCUUAGGCGUUGUUGGGUAGGGGAGCGUUCUGUAAGCCGUUGAAGGUGGCCUGUGAGGGUUGCUGGAGGUAUCAGAAGUGCGAAUGCUGACAUAAGUAACGAUAAAGCGGGUGAAAAGCCCGCUCGCCGGAAGACCAAGGGUUCCUGUCCAACGUUAAUCGGGGCAGGGUGAGUCGACCCCUAAGGCGAGGCUGAAAAGCGUAGUCGAUGGGAAACAGGUUAAUAUUCCUGUACUUGGUGUUACUGCGAAGGGGGGACGGAGAAGGCUAGGCURGCCGGUAACCCUGAGGCGUGAUGACGAUGCACUACGGUGCAGAAGUAGUUGAUGCCCUGCUUCCAGGAAAAUCCUCUAAGCUCCAGGUAACAUURAAUCGUACCCCAAACCGACACAGGUGGUCAGGUAGAGAAUACCAAGGCGCUUGAGAGAACUCGGGUGAAGGAACUAGGCAAAAUGGUGCCGUAACUUCGGGAGAAGGCACGCUGGCAUGUAGGUGAAGUCCCUYGCGGAUGGAGCUGAAGCCAGUCGAAGAUACCAGCUGGCUGCAACUGUUUAAUAAAAACACAGCACUGUGCAAACACGAAAGUGGACGUAUACGGUGUGACGCCUGCCCGGUGCUGGAAGGUUAAUUGAUGGGGUCAGCCGCAAGGCGAAGCUCUUGAUCGAAGCCCCAGUAAACGGCGGCCGUAACUAUAACGGUCCUAAGGUAGCGAAAUUCCUUGUCGGGUAAGUUCCGACCUGCACGAAUGGCGUAAUGAUGGCCAGGCUGUCUCCACCCGAGACUCAGUGAAAUUGAACUCGCUGUGAAGAUGCAGUGUACCCGCGGCAAGACGGAAAGACCCCGUGAACCUUUACUAUAGCUUGACACUGAACAUUGAGCCUUGAUGUGUGUAGGAUAGGUGGGAGGCUUUGAAGCGUGGACGCCAGUCUGCGUGGAGCCAUCCUUGAAAUACCACCCUUUAAUGUUUGAUGUUCUAACUCKGCCCCRURAUCCGGGGGGGUGAGGACAGUGUCUGGUGGGUAGUUUGACUGGGGCGGUCUCCUCCCAAAGAGUAACGGAGGAGCACGAAGGUUAGCUAAUCACGGUCGGACAUCGUGAGGUUAGUGCAAAGGCAUAAGCUAGCUUGACUGCGAGAGUGACGGCUCGAGCAGGUACGAAAGUAGGUCUUAGUGAUCCGGUGGUUCUGAAUGGAAGGGCCAUCGCUCAACGGAUAAAAGGUACUCCGGGGAUAACAGGCUGAUACCGCCCAAGAGUUCAUAUCGACGGCGGUGUUUGGCACCUCGAUGUCGGCUCAUCACAUCCUGGGGCUGAAGUAGGUCCCAAGGGUAUGGCUGUUCGCCAUUUAAAGUGGUACGCGAGCUGGGUUUAGAACGUCGUGAGACAGUUCGGUCCCUAUCUGCCGUGGGCGUUGGAAGAUUGAGAGGGGUUGCUCCUAGUACGAGAGGACCGGAGUGAACGCACCACUGGUGUUCGGGUUGUCAUGCCAAUGGCAUUGCCCGGUAGCUAAGUGCGGAAAAGAUAAGCGCUGAAAGCAUCUAAGCGCGAAACUUGCCUCAAGAUGAGUCUUCCCUGGGCCUUUAAGGCCCCUGAAGGAACGUUUAAGACUAAGACGUUGAUAGGAGGCUGGGUGUGUAAGUGCAGCGAUGCAUUGAGCUAACCAGUACUAAUGAUCCGUGAGGCUUAACCUUACAACACCGAAGGUGUUUUAG